rnacentral:lncRNA from 1 species
ACUUGAUAACUGUUCCCCCAGUAACAACCCCAUCAAAAAGAAAAUACAUCACAAGAUGUUAAAAAAAACCCCAAAAUUUCAAAAAGUUAAUACAUACAAACACACAUAUAUACAAAGCCUAACUCAAAGAGAAACAGAUGUAUGAGCUAGCAAUAAAUUAACAAAAAAAAUGAAGUCAAAAUCAGAUGUCCCAAACAACAAUUCUCCAGUAACAACGCACAAGAUCUACUUGAUUGAAUGAGAAAUAUCCAAAAACAAGGACAGAAAAAGAGAAAAAGAGACUGAAAAUUGGUUACCUCAACAGUCCAAAUGAAGAAAUCAAGAGGCUCUGGUGGGUGUUCUUUGCUCAUCUCCCUCAUCAUAACGCCUUUUCAAGACCUUCAAAUCAUUCACAACCCAAACACACUCUCAGUCACAGAGACGACACAAAGAGUAAAGAGCUUAAAAAUAAAAUUUCACAAAAAAUAAAAUAAAUAAAUAACAGCUUGGUCUAAGACUAGUGGCAGUUACUGCGAUCCGAAUUUUCUUCGUUUUUUUUUCUUUUUCUUUUGUUCGUUGUAUUUUCUGGGAGACCAAACAGAAAGUUAGAGAAAGCUGGAUUGGGACUUACCGUGCGGAAGGUGAGUGACAAUUUUGAGGGUAUAAAUUCUCUACAUUUGUUUCAGAGCUUAAAGAGAGAGAAAGUAAGAAGAAGUCUGAAACUGAUGACUCAUUUGCUUUCUUGCCCACUCUUUUUUUCUGUCUCUUAAUGGAGUUGAUGGGCCUCCAUUUUUCUCCUUUAUUUUCCCUUUUAAUUUCUCUUAAUUAUCAUUGCUAAAUUUCAUAUAAUAACACUAAAUUACAUUUUUAUCCAUAUAAAUAUUGUAUCGGAUUGCAAAGCGAUACUGGGGAGAAGGAACCCAACACACAUCUCAUAUGCAAAAGUUAAUACUAUUAAUCGCUUUAGCUACGUGUCCUUCACAAUCCAUUUAAAUUUUUACUAGUAUCUCAAUUGUGAAGAACAUAUAUUCGUGAACGUAAAUCGAAAUACUAGUAAGACUAAAUUCAUUUGAAUUCUAAACCAUAAAAGGUUAUAAUUGUAAACGUCAAAGUGAAAUGAGAUCAAAACAAUUGGAAAUAAAACCCUAAUUUAGCCAAGGAGAAAUUCUCAUUAGUACCCCUUAAGGUAACUUAUAAAUUUGGUUGGUAAAUAAUUUAAUAUUUUAUUUUGGUUCAAUGCAUGUCAAAUCAUAGAGUAAUUGGUUAUUAAUAAUACACCUUAUGACGUUUACUAUAAUAACUUUGUCUUAAUUAUUUUGGGACCAUUAUGAAAUUAUUACUAAACCAGCUUCAAUUAAGGUGCAUGUUUGGGCCCACGUGGGCCGGCCUGAGUUCGAUUGAACUGGAAGACUACGAAGGCGACAAGUUGGACCGACCAAAUCGAAACCAUGCAGACGGUCAAUGAAUCUUAUGGUCAUCAGAUCGUACGGUCGUGACGGGAGUUUCUUUGAAGCUACAGUGAACAGCUACAUGUGCAACACGUGUCCAUACCGUCGCUUACGUUGCGCUAUCAUUGUCCCUGGACCACAUACCAAAUAAUAACCCUAAAUCAGUAAUUAGAAUUACAUCACUUCCUUCUUUUAGGUGUUUAUUAUAUUGUCACUUGUUGUCUCUCCUUUUGAUCUUGCACCCACUUUUUACUGACUUUUUAUUACAAAUGUACGUAUGCACCCCAAAGAUUACAAAAAUAACUUUUCUUACCUCUUUUGUAUUUUUUUGAUGUAAAUUACUGUAAUAUAAGGGAAAAUUUGAAUUCGGGUAUAAGGAGACGAGCACUCUCCUGACAAAAGUAGUCAAUGUUGUUUUACUUAUAACUCAUUAUUUCUAUAGUUAGUUAAGAUUUUGUAUUAAUAUAAACCUUAGUGUUAUUACAAGAUAUAGUUAUCAAUAUGGAUUGGGUAUGUGUAUCAAUGUGGACCGACAAUGGGGCCAAUUCAAGAGGUGGGUUAAACAAGACCUUCUUAAUAUGCUCCUAUGGACCUAAUCCAUACUAUAUAUAUAGCAAGGGCAUGACUCAUGAGGGAAGACAAAAGGGACCCAACUUAAAAAGAGCCCAAUUUUAUAGUGACAUAACAUAUAUUGAAAUGCAGUCUCGAUCUUUUGGACUACAAGAGUUCAAGAGAUUGUGGUCACCCACCGUUGGAUAUUAAUCCAACGGUUGAAAAAAGUUUUUUAAAAGGAGUGCAAGAGUGAGUGAACCAUUGAAUUUACAUCCAAUGGUGAGUGACCACAAAUCUCUUGGACCACUGUAGUCCAAGAGAUCAGGACUGUAUGGAAAUGUAUGAAUGAUUUUUUUUAUUUUAUUAUAAUUUUAAUACAAGCGAUAUUUUAAAUUACAAGAAUGAAGGAAGUUCUUCACACAUGUUACCAAUUCCAACUUGAGACCGUGAUUUGCAAAUCAAUAUAUUUUUUCACUCAACUAAACUCCGUUGACGUGGACAUUUUUUUUGUAGUGUUGUGCUGUGUAAUGGUUAAUCUUACAUUGUUAGAUUUAUAUAUUGUUAAAACAUGCUUUGAUCUAAUGGCUUAAAUUUGUGUAAAGGUGUUGGGCCCACCACCAUUAGUAUUGCUACACACGUCCUAAAGUCGUGAGGUCGCCCACACCGGAUCACCCCGUCGUCAAAUUUCCUCUCUCACUCGAGAGCCAGGACAAUUCAAGCGCUCGCAUUUUCCGUUUUUUCAGCUCCGUGUAUCCCUAAACCCAAAACCCCCAAAUUUUCCCUCCCUUUUUUCUCUGCGAGCAAAAGCCAAACAAAUGUUCUCACCAGGAACUAAGCGAUCCAAUGUGAACCCUCGUCGGGACCCAGGAUCUCCGGCCACUCCUCUCGUCGAGAACCGGCGAUCUGUUUCCGAUAACCCGGUCCCGAACCGGCCCAGUACCGGAACUCCGGCUCCCUGGGCUCCUCGCUUAUCUGUUCUCGCCAGGUACUCGUCUAAUUUAUCAUGCAUUCGUUCUUUGAAUUGCUGAAAUGAGUUCGUCGGUUCUGCAUGUGAGCUUAAUUGUUGGUUUUAAUUGGAUAUGGUAAUUGGAGAGUUGGGUUGGUGAAUGUAAGGGCUGAUUUUCAAUCGUUUGUGUUGUUUUGUGUUUGGUUAGAGUUUUACCAGCGAACCAAAGUGAGAAAGGGGAUGAAAUUAAGCCUGUAUAUGUUGGAGAGUUUCCCCAAGUUGUUCGUGAUGAACAGGCCAGUAUGGUCCAGAAGCAUGUUCAUGGUUAGUAGGGUUUACUCCAUGAGCUUGGUUGUUGAAUGAAAUGACUAACUGUAGAAUGGUAUCCGAUGUUUUCUCUUCUUUUUUUUUCGUCUUGCAGGUGAUACAUAUGUAUCUGGUGGAAUGGAGAGGGGAACAUCUUUGGCAUGGAUUAUAUGCGGAAACAGACUCUUCGUGUGGAGUUAUCUGUCUCCUGCAGCAUCGAUCAAUUGCAUUGUUCUUGAAAUCCCUGCAAAAGUUUUUGAAGGUGGGGAUGUGGGCAGAAGUGGUGGGAACUGUUGGUUGCUUUGUGUUGUCAAUUGGGAUAGCACGUCUACAAGAACAAAGAAAGUUGUUAAACACUGUAGCUCUGCUGGUAUUGUAUUGUGUAACAAAAAAACUCGAGCUGCGGUGUACUGGCCUGACAUUUAUGCUGAAGGCAGAACUGCCCCCGUUGUUAGUGUUGCAUCUUCUGAUGAAUUGGAGGCAAAUUCUUCGCCUAUUGAUAGGAAGACCACCCCAAAGCGACAGCAACUAAAUAUGCGGCACAGGAGUAGUUUGACUGGGUUUUGUACAUUUAACUCUUUGAUUGCUUCUGCAGUCCCUGAUUCCCAGAAUAUGUGUGUUGCGCUUGCCUGUAGUUCAGAUGGCGAGCUAUGGCAGUUUCAUUGCAGCCCAUCUGGUGUUAGCCGUAAGAAAGUAUAUAGGGACAAUCAGACUCUUUCCUCCCAAGGGGGUGACAAUGGUCAAAACCUAGGGAGCAAGGGUUAUCCAAGGUCACUGACCUGGUGUGUUCCAAGUCUUCCUAUGCAGGAAUCUAACAGGCUGUUUGUUCUUCUGACAGAUCAUCAUAUUCAAUGUUUUAAUGUUGAACUUUGUGAUGAAUUUGUUGUGUCAAAACUCUGGUCUCAUGAGAUUAUUGGCUCAGAUGGGGAUCUGGGCAUUAAGAAAGAUUUGGCUGGGCAGAAGCAAAUCUGGCCUCUCGAUAUGCAGGUGGACUAUCAUGGUAAAGUGACUACCAUUCUGGUUGCUACCUUCUGCGUGGACCGGGGUAGUGGUUCAAGCUACACACAGUAUUCUCUUUUGACUAUGCAAUAUAAAUCUGGAAUGAGUGUGGAGCCUACCCAUGAAAGAGUUUUAGAGAAAAAAGCACCUGUGCAAGUGAUAAUCCCAAAAGCAAGAGUAGAAAAUGAAGACUUCUUAUUCUCCAUGAGACUGCGGGUAGGGGGAAAGCCUUCAGGAUCAGCAAUCAUCCUUUCUGGUGAUGGAACAGCAACAGUAUCUCAUUAUUUUAGAAACUCUACAAGGCUCUAUAAAUUUGACCUACCUUAUGAUGCUGGAAAGGUUCUAGAUGCUUCAAUUCUUCCGUCUACAGAUGAUGGUGAAGAAGGGGCAUGGGUUGUACUCACUGAGAAGGCAGGAAUAUGGGCAAUACCUGAGAAGGCUGUUAUACUUGGUGGGGUUGAACCUCCUGAACGAAGUUUGUCACGUAAAGGUAGCUCAAAUGAAGGAUCUGCACAAGAAGAGAGAAAAAACCUUACAUUUGCAGGCAAUUUUGCUCCUAGAAGGGCUAGUUCUGAAGCAUGGGAUGCUGGAGAUAGACAAAGGGCUAUGACUGUAAGUGCGCGUCAAACUGCCCAAGAUGAAGAAUCAGAAACUUUACUGAGCCAGCUUUUCCAUGAUUAUCUUUUAUCUGGGCAAGUUGGUGCCUCGUUUGAAAAGUUAAAAAAUUCAGGGGCAUUUGAUAGGGACAGAGAGACAAAUGUUUUUGCGCGAAUGAGCAGAUCAAUUGUUGACACUUUAGCUAAACACUGGACAACAACUAGAGGAGCCGAGAUUCUGGCAAUGGCUGUAGUAUCCUCCCAACUCAUGGAUAAGCAACAGAAACAUACAAAAUUUCUCCAGUUUCUUGCUUUAUCCAAAAGUCAUGAGGAGCUGUGUUCGAGACAGAGUAUGCCCUCAUGCCUAUUAUAUUUGCAAUGUUUUAUCAUUUGAUGUCAAAUCCUUUCCAAUUGACAUGGCAUAUGUUGAAACUUGAAAGUUCAUGCAUGCAACAGUGUAGGUAUAGCAUGCAUUUACUUCCACGCGUGCUUAUCUAACCCACUGCACUCAAUCAAUUUCUUUUAGGUUGUCAGAUAUUAACACAUAAAGUUAUAAUUCGUUACCGGAGUUUAAUUUAUCAAAAAUAUGAUUUUCAGGGAAUUUUUUCUUUUUGGUGCUGUGCUCAUUUGAUAAUUUUGUCAUCAGAGUAUCUAUUGGAUGCACGGAGUAUAUUAAUUAGUGUCUAGAUGACAAUAUUUCCUAAGGUGUCCUAUCAUGGGGGUAGAAGGCCUUUUGAGGAGUAUAUUGAUUUGAGGUUCAGUGGGGUGCUGUUGACCAACUAAAUUAUGGUUUUUUGUUUCCUUUUUGGCAGGAAAUUCUUUGCAAAUUAUCUUGGAGCAUGGUGAAAAGCUUGCUGGAAUGAUUCAACUAAGGGAAUUGCAGAACAUUAUUAGCCAAAACCGCUCUAGUGGACUUAACUCCUCCCAUUCUAGUCCAGAAAAUCAAAUAUCAGGUGCUCUCUGGGAUCUCAUUCAAUUAGUUGGUGAGAGAGCCCGCCAGAAUACUGUUCUUCUGAUGGAUAGGGAUAAUGCUGAAGUCUUUUACAGUAAAGUUUCUGAUCUUGAACAAGUGUUCUCUUGCUUAGACAAACAGCUAGAGUAUGUAAUAAAUGCAGAGCAGCCAUUUGGGAUUCAGGUCCAGAGAGCUUGUGAACUGUCAAAUGCAUGUGUUACUAUAGUUCGUACAGCCAUGCAAUACAGAAGUGAGCAUCACUUGUGGUAUCCGCCACCUGAGCGCUUAACACCUUGGUAUUGUCUAGCUGUGGUGCGCAAUGGGAUGUGGCACCUCGCUUCCUUCAUGCUGCAGCUGUUAAAGGAGGCAUCUCAACUUGAUGUGUCUGCAAAAUCAGAUUUAUAUACUCAUCUAGAAGUGCUGGCUGAAGUUCUGCUUGAGGCAUAUGCUGGUGCUGUCACAGCUAAAAUUGAACUAGGAGAUGAACACAAAGGCUUAUUAGAUGAGUAUUGGAAUAGGAGGGAUGCACUCCUAGACUCGCUUUAUCAACAAAUCAAAGAGUUUGUGGAAGUUGGGCAUCAGGUAUUCUUUGUUUAUUACUAUUAUUGUUUAAAUUUUAUUUUAGCUCAACGGUAUCUCUUUGUGAUUGUGAUCCUGGUGCUGGAUAAGUAUGCAUCUUUGAAUUUAUUGUCUUAGCAGAAUUUAAAUGAAGGAACUGAUGAUCUAAAUGAAGAAAUUCUUGCGAAGCUUUCGUCAUGUUUGCUGCCCAUGGCAAAACGGCAUGAAUGCUACAGUACUUUAUGGAAAAUAUGCUGUGACCUGAAUGAUUCUGGACUACUAAGAAAUCUGAUGGUAUGACAGUUAUAAUUUCUUCGGCUUGUUACUUGUUUAUUUUCAUUUGUUUUCUGAAACUUAUGGAAUGGUUUCUCUGUUGGAAAGGUUGUUCUGUGCUAGUGUGUAGUAUUAGUCCGUUGGAAUUCAUUUAACCAUUGAAGCAUAGUAACCUGCGUUGGUUGUUUCUUGAAGCUCUUCCUCUUAAUGGUGCCACAGUUCUGAACGUUUACUUUGAAGCUGUUCUCUUCUAAUUAGAAUAAUUCUUCUGCAACUUUUUUCAUCAUUUCAAUGUUUAGUCCUACUUAGAAGUUUGUUAUUUUUAAGGAUUUCAUUAUUAUGUUUCUGUUUAAACUUAAAAACAUAGGUUUUCUCUUGAUCAUUUGCUUCGAAGAUAUUGUUUGAUGUGAUUUCUGUUUUCUCUUGUUUUCUUGUCUUAUUAGAUGUCUCCUUCGUUUUCUGAAAAUGAUUUGUUAUAUAGCAUGACAGCAGGGGACCUAAUGGAGGGUUCAGUUACUUUGUGUUCAAACAACUUUAUCUAAGGAGACAACUUUCCAAACUGCUUAGGCUUGGGGAAGAGUUUCCUGAAGAGUUAUCCAUAUUUUUAAAGUAUCAUCAAGAUCUUCUGUGGCUUCAUGAAGUGUUCCUUCAUCAAUUUUCUUCAGCUUCGGAAACUCUUCAUGAAUUAGCUCUUUCUCAAAAAGAAAGCUCAAUUUCAGAAGCUGAAGAGGGGACUGGUCCUGAGAAUCUGACUAUGUUACCGAAACUGGCAGACAGAAAGCGUUUUUUGAAUCUCUCAAAAAUAGCCGCAAUAGCAGGUAUGUUUUAUCCUUUGACUUUCCUUAAUAGUUUCUUCAUAUAAUUCCCCUCUUCUUGAGCGUUUUCUUGUUUUCUUUACACUGCAUACUCCAUAUGUUUUCUUAUUCUUUUAACUGUUAUUUAAAGAAAGUUUUAUUUUUAUUGCAAAAUCAAGUUGAUAUAGUAAUUUGUGCAAACCAUUAAGUCAAGCCACUUGAGGACUUCCCAUUUAAUGAGAAAUUGGUAAAUGCCUCUCUAGUAUAGCAAUCAAGGGUUGCUAGUUGUGAGAUAUAUUUUGGUUUCUGUGUUGUCUUGAUUUUUAUGAGUGGUUUUGUCAUCUAAAAGACCAAGUCAAACUUCCGCAUGUUACGAAUUGCUACAUGGUUCACUGCUUUGGGGUGUUGGAAAUGCUAAUAUUUUUUUGGCAUGGGAAGAUAAGAACAUUACUUGGUAAUUUUAUUUGUUUUAUUUUAGCUUGAGCUAUACUGGUUAUUUAAGUGUUAUAUAGUUGUUUGCUUCAUUGGCAGGUAAGGAUGUUGAUUCUGAGACCAAAGUGAAGCGCAUUGAGGCUGAUUUAAGGAUUCUAAAGUUGCAGGUCUGUUGUGUUUUAAAACAAAUUUAAUUGCCAUUUUUGUUUUUAGUUGAAGGGUCUUCCCGAUUAUUUUUCCUUUUUAAGAGCUUUCGUUAUUUGGGUAUCAGAAUUGGCAAAUCAGUCUUGUAUUAUCAUGCCUUCAUUAAAAAGAAAAAAGAGAGAAAGGAUUCUGCUUUUUAUGAUUGGGUAUGGGUUAACAGGAACAAUUCAUGUGCCAUGUCUCUUGCCCCUUCCUCCCUUCCACCCUUCAUAUUCCACGGUUGGCGGCAGUUCCAUGAAAAUUUUCUUCCAGUCAUUGCACUUGCAUGAUUAGAGCCCAAAUUCUCAAUGGUGAUGGUGCAUUUUUAGUCAUUUGUAUUAAAUUGCAUGAGCAAUUAAAUCAAGCUUAGCAGCUUGAGAAGGUUGUGCCUUGUUCUCUUCAUAUGUCCUAAUUGAACAAGGCAUAUAUAACAGAAUUUUCCACCCCUCCCACUCUAAUUAUUAAGGUGGAAAGUAAUUUAUUUUAUUUUCAAGGAUAGGACUUUUGGAAAUCAGUAGUGAUCAAGCAAAGCCUUGAAUUAUGACUUAUUUUUUAACUCUUGAAUAUGAUGAAUCUCUUUCAACUAUGUACAUUCACUGUCAGUCUUCACCUGAUACAUCAUCUGUUGUUGCAGGAAGAAAUAAUAAACCUCCUUCCUGAUGAUGAAACAAAGCAAAGCCUUGACACAAAGCUACUUCAUCCAGAAGAUCUUAUCAAGCUGUGCCUUGAAGGUGAAAAAGGUGCAGAGCUGUCACUGCGAGCUUUCGAUGUAUUUGCAUGGACCAGCUCCUCCUUCCGUAAGACCCGUGCAAACCUUUUAGAGGAGUGCUGGAGAAAUGCUGCUGAUCAAGAUGAUUGGAGCAAACUCUAUCAGGCAUCGGUAUCUGAAGGGUGGAGUGAUGAGGAAACCUUGCAGAACUUGAAAGACACCGUGCUUUUCCAGGCAUCAAAUAGAUGUUAUGGACCAGAAGCUGAAACUUUUGGAGAAGGGUUCGACAAAGUGUUGUCACUGAGACAAGAAAUCGCGGAGCCUCCAAUCAUAAAGGAUUCAGUUUCUUCUGUGGAAGCAGUACUCAUGCAGCAUAAGGAUUAUUCAGAGGCAGGGAAGCUGAUGCUGACCGCGAUCAUGUUGGGUAGUUUACAGGACGAUAACAUAGAACAAGAAGGUCCUGUGCCAAUGGAAUGAGAGUCAGAUUAGUAUGAAUCAUGGUGAUGAGUUCCUGGAUGUGUCAUUGUUUUUUUUUUGUUGAUACACUGAGAUUCGUAGUGUACUAGUCGACAAGUUACAGCUAAAUUUUCUCUUUUCCUUUUUCUUUUUCUUUUCCCUUGUGAAAUUCUCCAACCAAGUUUAUACGAACAUUUGUCAGUCUACUCCGAUGCUUUACUGGUUGUCAGUUGUAAGAAUUUUCUAAGAAGGCGGCAAGUUUUCUUUUUAUAUAUAUAUAUGAACAAGGGAAUUGAACCUGGGAUUGGAAUCCGCAGUAAUUCAUGCAAGCAGUUGCAUUAUCGGCAAUUUCUGUCAAAUUUAAGAAUGCCUUUAGUUUUGCCUUUAGUUUUAAGGGAAAACAAAGCGUGACAAAAUCAGACCAAAAUUGAAGAAAUAAGAAGAAAAAAAGAGUGCAGUUUCGGCGUUUCUUUCUUUGCCGCGUUGCCUUCCAUUACCUCGAAAAUACAUCUAAAUUUCAAGAAAAAUAGAUUUAUUUUGAGGCGGAAAAAUGCAUGAUGAAUUUACCGGGAAAUACUACUGGUUUUGUUGAUGAAUUUCGUUGAAGUAGAAUGCUUUUCUUCUUCCUCUUCUUCCAUUGCCAACUACUUUUGCAUUCUAUUAAAGCCUCUUAUUUUUGGUCAAAAACUACUGCGGCAGGCAAGCCAAUGUGAAGAAGAAGAGGGUCCCCUGCCAAUGGAGCGACAGUCGGGGUUAGUAUUGAAUCAUGAUGUUGAGCUCUUGAAUCGAAUCUCUUUUUUGCUACUUCUAUAAUUAAUAAAAUAUUCAAAAAUGUAGAAAUGAGUUUAGCCAAGUUGGCUAGUGGAUGUGCUUCCCACUCUGCACUGACUUCGAAUUCCCCCACUCUUAGGUUUAUAUCAGUUCAAAGUAGAUUAUCGCUUGUAUAUAUUUUUUUAAAAAAAUAAAUUUUUUUUUUUCAAAAGUAAUUGAUCAUUUGUUUUCCUUUUUUGUUCUUCCCAUAUAAAAUUGCUCUAAAAGGAAAUAUUUGUAAGUUUACUCGUUAUCAUUUACUGAGCGAUUAUAUAUUUUGAAGUGGAUAUUUUAGGUUAUUCUUACAUAAAAAUUUUCUAGAUUCAUAAUUGUUUGGUUAUCCUAAAUGUGAAGAAAAAUGUUGUUCGAUAAAUAAAAUUGAAAAGAAGAUGCGGGUAAUCAAAUAACUAAAUAAUUUUCGAUUCUGCUCAUUUUUUAUAUGUUAAGUAAUUCUUGAAAGAGAACUUAAAAAUUGAAUGGUUUCGAUGCUCGAUUUACAGCCCAUAAAUAGGGUUUCCUUGUUUUCAUUUCCCUUGAAAGUGUUCAGCUCUACCUAUGGUUACUGUGUCAUACCAAUUUCCAAACUGUUGUUAUUUAUAUUAAUUUCUUUUAUACAAUAUCCAAAGUCUUGCCUCUAAUACAAAAUCUUUUUCCGUAGGGUUGGUGCUGAAUAUCUUGGUUUGGAAUUUUUAAAGAGGAUUAUUGAACAAGACGACCCCAAAACGAAAUGAACAACACUAAUCUAUUUGUUAGUGGUUACUUAGACUAAUUAAGUAAAAUAAUGAAUAUUCGUUAAUAUACUAGACAAGACAAGCAAGUCAAGUACUUUGCACUACAGACCAAAGCAAAGACUCGUGUAGCUUUUGUUAUGUUUGGAGACUUUUUACAUUAUCUCUAUUAUUUUUUUUAUUCCGACCACAUGACGUGCUACUAUGCAUGAAUAAAUAUCAUUUGAGAACAAGCAAGCCUCAUUGACUUCUUACACCAAAUACUAAAUACAUUUCUUGCUCGUUUGUGAUUUCUUGUUUAGGAAGGACUUUUGUUUAUUAGCGCUUUUAUUAUAAAAUAUUAAAAAUUUUAUAAGAAAUUUCAGUGCUUUCUAGAAAAUCAUUUUGAAGUGAUUCAUGAAGAAGCUCAUAGCAAAUGCUUCUCCAUAAAGUGCUUUUAUGACCCAUAAGUGCUUUUAUUUAUUUUUAAUUUUAUCAAACGUUGUUGUUGUCACCAAAAAUGUGUCGUUUUAAAUUUAUAAAUACUUGCAAGCACACGAAUCGGAUAUAGUAUAGAUGUGUAAGAACCAGGUCGUACCCAUAAAGAUUGAGUGAAAAAUAUAGAAAACUAAUUAAACCCAAGUUAAUUUUAUUGCCAACCUAGUUGAAUCAAAUGGUGAUUUGUUCGUUGAUAAAGAAAAUUAAAUAAAGCAAAAAAAAAUGGAAAUUAAAAUAGAGAUUAAAUUAAUGAGAAAAGUAACUAAGGUAUUAGAAUCCACACCACUAUUUCAUAAAACUCUAAUUAUUUACCUGUUAAUUUCCACGCUGAGUAGCAAUCUAGAAGUCAACCUAUUACUUUCUCAAGAUAUAUCAUUUAGGCCCUUUAAUGAAUCUUUUUGUAAAUUCCCCUUCCCUUCAUUAGUACAAAUUCUAAGCAUCGCAUGUAAACAAAAUUUUUUUAACUACGAAGGAUCAAAGUUUCCUAAGCAUCCUAGGUGAAAAAGGUUAUUUGAAUGACAAGAGAUCAAAGAAAUUUGGAUACUAAAAAUACAAAACCAAGGAUGUAUUAAUAAAUCAACCCAAAUUCUUAACUACCACAAAUACACGAUAGAAGUGGUGAAAAGAAAGUUAAUCUACUAAUCAUGUGAAGUGGAAAUUAUAAACAUUGAAUAAUUUACUUCGGAAACUAGAAGAUAAAAACUAGAACUUCAUUUUAUAAUGAUGUUUCAUUAUUAACAAAAUUUAACUAGACAUAAAUAAAAUAACAAAAUAAUUACAAGAUAAAAACUAAAGUGGAAAUGAAAAAGGGAAAAUUGCAUCAUUAACCCUUUGGAUCCUUGCCUGUCGGCUCCCCAAGGUUCUCUCCAAUUCUAUCGCAUUUUCUCUCCUCUUUCUUUCUCUUUCUCUCUUUCCUUCUCUUUGCCGUGUAUCUCUUGGUACCUCACAUCUUUGCUCCAAGCUUUUAAUUAUAAUCAAAGUUUAGGAGCUUAAAUGAUAGAAUAAUCAAGAGAGAAUAAGAAUUCUGGUCUUAUCUAUGCACAUUACAAUAGAACACAAAGUGGCAAUAAUGUCAACUACACUUUUAUUUUAUUUUCUCUCUUUUGAGUGCCAAUUUUCCACAAUCCCGCGUGGCAAACGCGUAUAGAGACGAAGCCACACCACCACUCCCUCCCUCCCAGAAAAAAAUUUCACUACAAAACAAUACAAACAAAGAGAAAGAGGCUUACAUUACAUAAUGUCAUAAAACAAAAUAUGAAAAUAAAAAGAAGCUCCCUGUUGUACAUCAAAUUUAAUUUAUAAUCUCUAGGGAAAUUAAUUUUCUGGGUAAUUUACAAUGUGUAGUUUCCAGGUCGCUUCCUUUAUGGGGGCAAAAUUGUAAAAUGCAACAUAUCUCACGUCUAUAAAAAACCCCCAAUCAUCACUCAACUAAUCACACCUCAACCUCAUUUCCUCAUCCUAUUUCUAUCAUUAACUGCAGUGUCUUUCUUGACAUUAUUCAAUAAAUCCCAUGUUUGUUUUUUCUCUGCUACGCAUUAAUCUGGGGGAAAAGGCUAAUUUAAGUACUCUCCAAAGCCAGCACUCACCAAUUCCCUUUUCCGUGAAUCAAAUGAGGCCUAAUAUUUCAUUUUAGUCGCACAAAUUUCUUUGUGAGCUUUUUUGAAGCACUUUCCAAACCCAGCACUCAACAACUCCUUGAGCCUUCCUCAUUUAGUCAUAUACGUACGGUGAGUCCAAUAUUCCAUGCCAAAUCUUUUUUGAUCUUUUUUUUGAACAUUUUUUUUUGUCUGACCAUUUGUCUAAUUUUGUAGUUGCACCAAGAAACAUGUUCCUAGAGCCAAAAACAGAUGAUCAAGCUUCCGAAGGUGUGGGCAGCAGCACUAGCUUGCUCAUUCAAACCAUCAACACUUCUGGCCAAUACGUGCGGCGCAAGAGAUGGCUUAGAUAUAUUGCUCUAGGCGUUUUCAUCUCCUCACGCAGUAAGAAAACCAGAUUGCCCCAUGAAGCCCCUACCUAUGAACCUUUAGAAGCACCGGCACCACCGGCCCCUGCCUUUCAGCAUGCGAUUGACAUCCCUCUUCAGGACCGGUUUCUGAACAAGGUUGGUCGCAUUGUGAGAGAGAAGAACUUGAAUGCACUGCGAGGACUUGGUGGUGUUGCUGGCAUUUUGCCCCUUCUCAGUUCUCACUUUGAGGUAGCAAGCAAAUAAGUAGGAAAAACAAAAACAAAAAAAACAAAAAAAAACUUAAUAAUCUUAUACACUUGAUAAGGAAUGAUUGAGAAUGAUUGAACUUAACUUUGUUAAGUUAAUCAUAUUCGUUCUUUAUAUGACAGGAUGAUGGUGUUGAUGGUGGUCAAAAUCCACAAGGAUGGAACACGACCAAGUCCCCAGUUGAUGCAAAAAGCUUCUCCAACUUCUUGUUGAAGGCUUGCAAUCAAUAUACAGUUUUUUUCCUCUUACUCUCAGCAGGGUUUUCGUUUGCCAUUGAAUUCAUGAAGCAAGGAGUCAAACAAGGGUGGCACGACGGUGUUGCCAUACUCUUUGCGGUGUUCUUACUUGUUGCUUUCCCUUCAGUGGGGAACUACCUCCAUGAGAGAAAGCUGGUGAGGAAGCACCUGCUGGACAGGAGCAGACUGAUGGUGAAUGUUGAAAGGAGUAACAGAGAACCUACAUCAGUUAACAUAUCUAGUGUUGUGGUGGGCGAUAUAGUUCAUUUGAAGGAAGGAGACCGCGUCCCUGCCGAUGGUUUGUUCAUAGAUCAUGGUGAGGACUUGAUGUUGGAUGAGGUAUUGAACCCCAAAAUUGAUUGUCAACAAAACCCGUUUGUGUUGUCUGGUUCAAAGGUUAUUAAGGGGCAUGGUCGCAUGGUUGUGACAUGUAUUGGUGCCAAAACAGUUUUUGCUGAGAUGCACAGCUUGGGGACUAAUCAUAAUCCAAACGAAAAGACGCUGUUACAAGAUUUGUUGGACAAGCCAUUUGAUUGUAUGGAUUAUCUUGCGGUUUGUGUCUCUCUACUGAUUGCUCUCGUGGUGCUAAUACGGCUAUUAUUCUUCAGGAAGCAUGACAAUUACAAUGACAGGCCAGAACUGAAAGGGGAAGGUUCAAUGAACUUGGUAAUGAGGAUCUUUGAGAAAAUUUUCUUGAAACCUCAAGGACGGUUUUCCACUUUAGCAGGUGUUCUUGCAACCGCGGUGAUAGGGAUACAACAUGGAAUGCCUUUUGCGAUUACAGUUGCCCUUUGUCAAUAGAAGGAGAAGGUGGUCCAAAAUCAGGCAAAGCCUCAGAAUCUAUCAGCUUGUGUCACCAUGGGACUAAUAACAGUCAUCUGCAUAGAAACAACUGGUGAGCUAAUGUGUAGUCCGGGGGAGGUUAAGGAAUUUUGGAUGGGUGGAAAGGAUUUAUGCAGUGAUGAAGUGGACUCUGAAGCUGACCAAGUUGUUCUUGAAACACUGCAUCAGGGGAUUUCUGCUACCUCAUCCCCAACAAAAGAUUUGCUCAUUUCUUGGCUGAAGACCAGAUGGGGUGCUAACAUGGAGUUAUUGAAUGAAACAGGUAAUACCAUUGAGCAGAGACAAUUGAGCUCUGAUGAGAAAUGCAGUGGGAUUUUAGUGGAGAAAAUUGUGAACGAUGAACAAAUUCUGCAGUUGCACUGCAAUGGGGAUGCAUCAACAAUAUUACAUAAGUGUUCACAUUACAAUGAUAACAGAGGGGAAAGUAAAACUAUGAAAAACCAGAACAGAAGAUUUAAGCAGGUGAUUAAUAAAAUGGAGGAGAAUGGUCUUAGGCCCAUUGCAUUUGCUUACAAGAAAACAGAAGUCCAUGAAGUUACAGAAGAUGGGUUGAUUUUGUUGGCAAUCGUGGGCGUUAGACGCCCAUAUCAAGAAGAGCUUAAAUUGGCAGUCGAAGCUCUUAAAAGGGUUGGAGUAAGCAUCAAACUGGUGUCAGAGGAUGAGCUCUCAACAGUGAGAGCCAGGGCUUCACAACUUGGAAUCUCCCCCGGUUCAAAUGACAUGGAAAUUGAAGGAGAAGUUUUCCGAAGACUGAAUUCCAUGGAAAGGCAGGAUAAGAUGGAUAUGAUCUCUUUGAUGGGAAGGUCCCUCCCUAAGGACAAGUUUCUCAUGGUGGAUCGCUUAAGGAAAAAAGGUCACAUAGUUGCAUUCUAUGGAGGGUUGACCAUAAGCGACACUCCGACCUUAAAAGAAGCUGAUGUAGGAGUCAUAGAUGAUAUCCGGAGCACAGAAAUGGCUAGAGAGAAUGCUGAUCUUAUAGUUAGAAAUGUCUGUUUACUAGCCCCUAUUUGGAAGUCUGGUGCAUGUGCUUACCACAACAUUCAGCAAUUCUCUCAACUUCAGCUCACUGCUUGCAUAUCCGGGCUACUGAUAACCUUAGUGGCAACAAUGCAUUCCGGAGAGUCCCCGUUAUCCGCAGUUCACUUGAUUUGGGUGAACUUGAUUAUGUGCCUUCUUGGUGGCCUCAUGAUGGUGAUGGAGUUACGAGGCCCAGAACUACUCACUCAAAGACCUGCAAAGAGGACUGAGUCACUUAUAACACCAGUCAUUUGGAGAAACAUAGCAAUUCAAGUUUCAUCUCAGGCUUCUGUCUUGCUGAUCUUACAUUUCAUGGGAAAUGCAGUACCAAGCAUGGAUCAAGGCAUCCGGAAUACGAUGAUUUUCAAUACUUUCACCUUGUGCCAGGUCCUUAAUCUGUUGAGUGCCAUGCACUUGGUGAAGAAGGAAAUGCUACUAGUUGUCCUCCACAACUAUUGGUUUCUGAUGGCUUUGGGGGCUGUUUUGAUCAUGCAGGUGAUGAUUGUUGAGUUUGGAAAAGGGCUAGUUAGUGGUGCGAGGUUGAAUGCACUGCAAUGGUUGAUCUGUUUCCUUCUUGCUGCUCUUUCAUGGGGAUUUGAUUGGACCUUUAAAUUGCUUUCAGAUAGCAUCGAAAGAACAACUUCGGCAUUGAUGGUGAAUUCACAUGUGGGGUUCUCAAAUAGGAGGCGCAGAUUAUACAUUUCUAUUUGGUUGUUCCUGAUCUUCUCCGUAUCGUUGUUUUGUUUUCACCCAGUUUCUCAGCUCGCUAGCACAUAUAUCAGUUAAAUUGGAAGUCUCCCAUGGAAGUCUUAACAAAGUUAAUAAACCAUGUAGUCAUCUUGUGGUCUGUCUGUGUUCCUACUUGUUCUGCACAAUGCCAUCUCUAAAAUGUGAAUAAGUUAUUCUCCUGCCUUUUUACCAUGAGCCUUCGCGACAAUAGACCAGAAUGCUAAUAGAUAUUACAUUGUAGUUGAUCAUAGACAAUGUAGGUGAGCUUAUGUUAUUUACUCUUCGGGACAUUCUCCAAUAAGUAUUUAAAUUAAGGAUUAGUUACAUACUUCUAAUCUCGACUGUUGGAUUGCAUCUAAGAGAAUACGAACACAUUAAAUGAAUGCAAGCCAACAGCUAAGAUUAGAAGUAUGUAACCAAUCCUUAAAAUACUUUUUGGAGAAUCUCCCUUUCUGCCCUGCUAUGGUUUGCUGUUGUUUUGUCAAUACUGCGGCAAAUUAACCUUUUCACAGCAGCCAAGGAACAGUUCUAAUUUUAGAGGUUGGCGUUUUUUACCUCAAGCCUACAAAAACACCCAAGGAAAGUUUAUGCUUUCAUGAUUUCAUCAAUGGGGGCCUAUUAAAUAUUUGUCUUCUGGUUGGAGCUGGCAUGAACUUCUACAGUACAACUAAUCUUGUGGCCUGCGUUCACCAACCACAAAAAUUGCACCAAUUUGCCAGCCACGUGGCUAAGAGAUAACCUCUCUCUCACUAGAACAAUCAGUUUGGAAAUCUAAAUCCAAUUGAGAACCAAUAGAAUGUUGCUGAUGUGUAGAUAUCCUAAUCCACAACAUCUUCACAUUCCCGUUAUAACAUCCCAGCGCUCUAGUUGUCCAAGGCAUCUCAUUAGGCCUCACAACACCACCCCACUUCGAACAGGAGAGCAUAGUCAUGGCAACCUCUGCAAUCCAACAAUCAGCAUUUGCUGGCCAGACUGCUUUGAAGCAGUCAAAUGAGCUCAUCCGAAAGAUUGGCGGCCUUGGUGGCGGCCGCAUCACCAUGAGGCGCACCGUCAAAAGCACCCCCCAAAGCAUAUGGUAAGUACCUUGGCUCUAGCCUGUGAGAAUAAGAUAUUUUUUUCCAAGCAACUCUACUAAAACUUCCAUGUGUAUAGAUAUGGUCACUGAUACAUAUUACGCUAUUGGAGUAAAUUAAAGUAUCUAGUAGUAUUGAGAGUCAUGGAUUCGACGUAAACUUCUAAUCAAAAUGAUGUUUAGAUUACAAUGACAGAAUCUCUAACAAUCUAUUCUACCUCAAUGCAUAAAGUUACAGUGUUACAAGACCAACAUGCUCAACAUAGCAUUAGGAAGUUUACACCAUACCCAUACCUUUUAAAGCCAAGGCCUUGAGCUUAUUAUGCUAACCCUCUUCACUGUAAUUAACAAAACAGGUAUGGCCCAGACCGCCCAAAAUACUUGGGACCAUUCUCUGAGCAAACUCCAUCAUACUUGACUGGUGAAUUCCCUGGUGACUACGGAUGGGACACUGCUGGACUAUCCGCAGACCCUGAGACAUUUGCCAAAAACCGUGAGCUUGAGGUGAUCCACAGCCGAUGGGCCAUGCUUGGUGCACUGGGAUGUGUCUUCCCAGAAAUCCUGUCAAAGAAUGGUGUCAAGUUCGGCGAGGCUGUUUGGUUCAAGGCUGGAUCUCAAAUCUUCUCCGAGGGUGGCCUUGACUAUCUUGGCAACCCAAACCUUGUCCAUGCCCAGAGCAUCUUGGCAAUCUGGGCUGUCCAGGUUGUGCUCAUGGGAUUUGUCGAAGGAUACAGGGUUGGUGGAGGACCACUUGGUGAAGGACUGGAUCCACUUUACCCUGGAGGGGCCUUUGACCCACUUGGACUGGCUGAUGAUCCUGAGGCGUUUGCUGAACUGAAGGUGAAAGAGCUUAAGAAUGGGCGGCUGGCAAUGACUUCAAUGUUUGGAUUCUUUGUUCAGGCUAUUGUAACUGGAAAGGGCCCAGUUGAGAACCUAUAUGACCAUGUUGCUGAUCCAGUUGCCAACAAUGCAUGGGCUUAUGCCACCAACUUUGUCCCUGGAAAAUGAAGAAACCUAAAUGCAUGGCUGUUCAUAUGUAACAUUACCCGAACUUCUUGCCUUUGUUGAGGUUCUGUUGUUGUGGACUCCAUUAGUUCUGAUGUAAUCUUACUAGAAACUGCUUGUAUUGAAAUCACUUAUCCAGUAAAACCGCCCAGCUCCUUUGUGCUUGAACUCCUUAUUUGUCUAGAUGUGUUGAACAUUCAAAAGUUCCAGUCAACAAAUGCAUGCUUUGCUACAAUAUAGUAAAUCUAAACCAGAGAAUAAAUAUAUAACAACCAAAAUACAAGGGAAAAUAAAAAUUAAAACCAAAUCAUAUGAUUAUCAGAUUCAUCUUAGGUUUCUUCAUCUAUUCCUCCCCAUUAGGCAAAUUAAGUUUAACCAGCGCAUACAGAGAAUGUGGGAAAGAUUUCUGCAAACUUUUACCCACUGAACACUGGCUAUCAUCUCUAAUUUUAAUAUCAGCAUAAUGAAGACUGCCUAAGCUAUUAGUAUUACGGACACAUAGUAUAUGGAUUUGGCCAAUGCAGGGUGAAAGGAAUGAUGGGAAGAGCUAUCAUCUCUUACUAUAAUCUCAGUAUAAUGAAGAUUGCCCAAAUAGCUAAGGGCAGCCACAAUCCUGUUGCAAGAAAGGCUGUUUUGGGCUCUGGGCAAGCCAUACUGGUAUCGUGUCGAUAUAGAUGUCAACAUGUUUGUCAUAUGGAUGGUGAUAUGUUAUUUAUAUGGAUGUUGAUAUGUUGUCAGUGUGGAUGUCGAUAUGUUGUUGAGUAUCCCACUCCAGCUACAGUGGAGUGGGAUAUAUGUAUAUAAUAUUACACAAUAAGUGCCCACAAAGAGAAUGUACAAAACAAAGAGAAUCAGAGCACAAAGAGAAUGUAUGAAACAACAAAUUUGGAAAAUUUUCAGCAAACAAACUUUUGCCAACUGAAACUUUUCACAUGAUGGGAGGAGCUAUUAUCUUUCAGUAUAAUGAACAAUUCUUGUAGGGGUAACCAGUAUACAACGAAGAUUGCCUCUAAUACUAAGGGCACCUAGUGUACGAGCCUUCUGCCAAUGCAGGGUGAAAGAAGCGAUGGGAAUGACUAUUAUAUCUCACUGUCACUAUAAAUUCAGACUCUCUGUAUAAGAUAGCCUAUCUUGCACUAGUCUCUGGCCAAUUCAGCAUCUAGGGAGAGCAAGACCUAUGCAGUCAUAUCCCUGUAACAAGGGGGGCUGUUUUUGCUGGGGACAAUCAUUACAUCAAGAAACACCUUCAAGAAUGUCUAUACUGCUAAAUCUCAAAAGGAACACAAAGAAAUGCAUAAAAUCAGAAGAAAUGAUACCAGUGGCCAAUUUUAAGAGUGGAAGAAUAGAGGUAGAGGCAUUCUGAUGCUUAUUGCUUCGAGCAGAUCAACACAAGCGUCAAUGCAGCAGACAAACAAGUCAGUCACCAAAAAUCUUUGCAAGAACAUGACCCAUUUCUGAAAUGAUGGAAACGACUAUUAUCUCUCACAAUAAUCUCACGAUCAUAGAUACUGGAUAGGAGUUUAGUGACAGAGUGGCAAUCGUUACAGACACGAAGAUUCUUUAUAAUGCGAAUAGGACUCCCAGAUUCCAAAUUAAUAAGACCAUAUGCAAUAGCCAAUCUCUCGCUAUGGUUUUCCAAUUCAGCUUCCUUCUCUUUUUCCUCUUCAAGACACAACAGAACUUGACUUGUGUCAGGAACAUGUCCUUCGGAUUUCAGUUUCUCUCUCAUCUCAGUCAACUUAGAAUAUAUGUCUUUUGUCCGAGGAUGUGAUUUGUCACCGACAAUAAACCCAUGAAGCACACCUCUGUGCUCUAUGGAACUGCAUCCUGGGUCCUUUUUUACUCCUCUCUUUCUCAUAAUUUCUCUUACCUGUGAAACUUUCUCCCACUUAUCAGCCGCAGCAUACAUGUUAGAAAGAAGAACAUAGCAUCCAACAGUGUCUGGAGACACGUCAAUCAAAUGGCGAGCUGCAUAAUCACCAACUUCAACAUUUCCCUGGUUCCGAGCACCACUAAGCAAACUCAUCCAAAUUACUUUGUUUGGUUUCAUGGGCAUACCUUCAAUGACAUUCUUUGCCUCGUCCAGACAACCAGCGCGGCAUAAAAUGUCUACAAAACAACCAUAGUGUUCAAUUGUGGGUUCAAUUUCAUAAUCAUUUAUCAUCAGAUUGAAAUAGUAACGACCAAGAUCAACCAAUCCUGCAUGACUACAUGCAUUCAAGACUCCGAUAAAAGUUAUACUAUGAGGGCGCAUUCCAUUUUUGCGCAUCUCAAGGAAUAGCUCAAGAACCUGGUCGGCCAUACCAUGCAUUCCUAAACCAACAAUUAUAGCAGUCCAAUGCCCCAAUUUCUUCCUGUCUAUAGCUCGAAAUACAGCCAGAGCACUCUCUAUGCUCCCACACUUGGAAUACAAUUCUAUCAAUGAUGUACCAAGCACACCAUCUAAAUCAAAUCCAUGUUUUACCAUGAAAGAAUGUAUCCAUCUCCCCUUACUUAGAGUGGCUAAUCCUGAAACGGCAGAAAGAGCACUGACUAAUGUAGCAUGACUAGGCAUAAUAUCUUCUUCCAAAAUUUCCUGAAACAACUCCAAUGCUUCCAUAAACUGUCCAUUAAAUUCAUAACCUGCAAUCAUCGAAUUCCAAGUAAUUAUAUCUCUUGUUGGCAUCAGACCAAACAAUUGACGUGCCAUCUCAAAAUCUCCGGAUUUCAUGUAACCAUUAAUCAUGGCAUUCCAAGAAACCAAAUUUCUAUUUGGCAUCCUAUCAAAUAUCUCCCUAGCCAUCUCUACCUUCCCGCAUUUUGAUAACCCGUCAACUAAAACAGUCCACGAAAAAGAAUCUCUCUCCUGCAUUUGAUCAAACAAUUCCAUUGCAACUUCUACUUCUCCACAUCUCGCAUACCCAUCAAUCAAAGAAUUCCAAGUAACCAAAUCUCUAUCAAGCAUUUGAUCAAACACUUUCCUAGCCAAACCAAUCUCACCACACUUUGAGUAUAAACUAACCAAACUACUCUGCACAAACUUAUCCAAACCAAGCCCAAUUUUCAACACCAACCCAUGAAUCUGUUUCCCUUCCCCAAUCGCAUUUAACCGAGCACAACCCUUUAUCACACACGGUACAGUAAAAUUAUCCGGAACAAGUUCAUGAAGCAAUUCAUAGAACAAAACAAUAGCAUCAUGGGAACGUUGGUUCCCAACAUAGCAUUUGAUGAGAACGUUCCAGGAAACCAAGGUGGGUUCUUCAAUUUGAUCGAAGACGGAGCGAGCAGAGUCAAGAUUGUUGAUUUUGGGGUCUGCGUAGAGAGAUAAGAAACGGGAAGCAAUUGCUGGGUGGCUGAAAGUUCCGGUUUUGAGGGAUAUGGCGUGGUGUUGCUCUGCUUCUCGUUGGGUUUUACAGGUUUGGAGAAGCGAAAAGGGGAGGCUUUGAGGAGAGAGCAAUGGUUGAUGGAGAGAGUGAGAAGGCGUGAGUUGAAGCAUUGCUAUGGCUUUGGUGGAUCAGAUGAUUGACUGAAGGGCUCUGUGUGUGGCUUAUUAUAAAGGGAAAUAGCUCAAAAUAUCACCAAUUUUAUAAUUUUAUGUCAAAAUACCACCCCUUCUCAAAAAUUUUAAAACUAUGACCUAUAAAUACAUUUUUAUUGUAAAUUGAUUGCACCCAUAUCACAUUUUCAGAAAACCUGAGGGGAACUACGGGUUUAGAAUGACUUCGCCUCCGCCUCUUUUCUCGUUCGAUCGUCUACGGCCUCCGCUUCCUCUCUCCUUCGUUCUUCUACGCCCCUGCCUCCGCCUCUGCUUUUUCGAUUGUCUGCCUUCCUCCUCCUCCUCUGCUUUUUCGAUUGUCUACCUUCCUCCUCCUCCUCCUACUUGGCUCUUCUCCUUAGCUAUCAGCUAUUUCAUACCCAGAAGUGUUGGAUCCUGAGCAAGCAGUGAAAGGGCUAUCUGGUAAUCUAAUGACUAAUACUAUUAGUUGGAUAUGCUGUAUGUUUUCUCUUCAAAAUUCUAGAUUUAGUAGGGUUGGCAUACACUAUCAUGACCUGAUAUAUUUUCAGUCUGUUUUAAUUACUGGCUAUUAGGGUGUGGUUUGAAACUUUGACUGAUGGGGUGGGGGAGCUUGGACGGAGUUUUCUUAUUUUUGUGAAAUGGGUUUUGGAGGAUUAGGGAUUUUAGGGGAGUGUGUGAGUUCGCUGUUUUGGUGGAAGAUAUAUGCAGAAGGGUUAUGAUGAUGAUGGGGGUGGGUUUUUGUGUUUUGUUAAUUCUUUUGUUUGUCGGAAGAAGAAUGAGAUAUUUUUCCAACUCUUAUGAGUGAGUUGGGUUCAAAAGCAAUUAUUGUUGGUUUUAUAUUUUGAUUUAUUUGCAACUGUCUUUAUAGAAUUUAAUUUUUAAUAGUAAUAUAUGUAUUCUUCAUGAAUGGUUUUGCUCUGUUCAGGUGCGUCUGUCUACAUGGGUUUGUGCUUGAAGCAUAAUGCAAGUUUUGUUAAUAAAUUCUCUGUUUUAUGCUGUGCAGGUGUGAAUUGGAAUAAAUAAAAAAAAUUUGCUGGGUUUUUGAGACUUGUGAUGUUAUUCAUCAGUAUUCAUGCCUGGUUUCUUCUUGCAAUAAUUUUGUUGAUUGUGAGCUUUUCCCUCUAGCGCUUGUUGCUGAUACUGAUUGUGAAGGUGAAUUGGUUGUGCUUUAUGAUGUUUGAACCUCAUUUCUGUUUCUUCUCUUUCAUGCCAAUAGGUUGUAGGAAACUCCGCUCUCAAACAUAGGCAAUGAACAAUUGAGUUGACAUGCUGCUGGGAGAAUUGUUUGCAAUGCAGAGAAGACUUGUCUCUUACUUUUGUGAUGAUGAACUGGGUGAGAUUCUUUAAGAGUGAUGUGUCAUAUUUGAAUUUUUGAAUAUCAUAUUUUAGUUUUGUUUUUAAGUUUUGAACCUUGUUCUAUUUCAGCAUCCUAUAGACCUGUGUUAACUUAUAUCUACAUGUGAUAUGGAUAUAACUUAUGCUUUCAAAUUAAUUUGACUUGUGUUAUAUCUUGUUUCGUACCUUUGUUUCGAAAAUUUCUUUGUAAAGACCAAAAAGAAUAGUGUGUUUUUUUUUUUGGGUGGUAUUUUUGUUAAUGAUAAUUAUAGUAUUGAUUACUGGGUAGAGAAUGAGCUACAUUUUGUGCUUCAUGAAGUAAAAUGGCUGAGCAACUCAAAUUUGGUUUACACAACCAAGGCAAAAGGAAAAUACUAAUUUUGGAGCUUAUAUAUAGUGGUUAUAUAAGUUGCAGUUUUCGUUACUUGUAAAUCAUGAUUUCCUUAGCGUAUUUAAUUGCAUUGUGUUUCUCGUUUUGGGUAGAACAGAGUUUUCAAUGAUAGGAUUUAUUUGGAAAAAAGGAAUUCUGGUAGUUAUGCUGUGUUCUCUAUUUUUGCAUGAAAGUUGAAAGUAAGAUGUCCCCUUUAUAUGUGUGACAGCUUCAGGAUUAUGGCCUUCGUAUACUGAAGGGAAAUUGCUAUUUGAUCCUGUUAUAUCUUUUAUGGGACAAACAAAUGAGGGAAGUAGUGUUGAUUCAUCACAGAAAGCUGAGUCUUCAGAGCAUCCGCCAAAGGUUGACAAAUCAUCAGGGGAAUCUGAAUCUCCACAAAAACUCUCUACUGUUGAGGCAAAGGAAGGGGUCAAAAUAGAAACUUUACAACACUCUUCAACUGAACAGAUGGCUGAUAAGGAGGAAACUGAAGUUGUCAAGGAAGAAACAGAUGAUAAGCAUGCUGCGACGGUGGAGGAAACAAAGACAGUGAUAGCAGAGCCUGAAAAAUCUGAAUCUGAAUCAUCUUCACUGCCAGUUGAGCCCUUUGAACCCACUGUUAAGAAUGAUGGCCCAUCAGAAUCUGUGGGUUCUCAAGAUGACAACAAGAUUUCAGUAGUGGGACCCUCAGUAAAUCCAGAAACAAUGCAGGGUAAGUCAAGAGCUGUUGAGGUAGAUCAAGUUGAGGAGGGUCAUACUGUUCUCCGCGUGAGGCACAUGAUGUUGAUGUGGAUGAACAAAAGACACAGGUAGAGCAGAAGGAUGGACAUAUGACUCAGGCUGGAGAGAUUGUUGAAACAGUUGCUAUGGUUGAAGCUGAGACUCCAACUGAUAGCCAGCCUGGAGGUUUUCCUCUUUGCUAAUUUAGAAUCAUGUGCAGUUAUGAUUUUAGAUCUGUAGAUAACCUGUUGUUGCUGAUAUUGCUACACGGGAGGAGAACAGAACAACUUGGAAAAUGUGCAAGAAGGGAGAGCUAACUCAUACAACGAAGAACAAAUUGAUGAAGUUAAGAUCAAAUUAGUAGAAUUUGUGAGCUCUCCAUUAUUUAUAAUUAUAGGUAGGAAGUAUGUAUGUAAUAGAGCAAAGAUUGGUUGACUAUGUAAUAACAAUUGAAUUGUCAAGUUUUAUGAAAGAAAUAAUUUUUGCUUCUUGGGAUAGUAUUGUUAGGGUUCGGUGGCGAUUUAUUUUCCAUGUCUAAAUUGUAGUCUGUAAUGGAUGUGUGUGUAUUGUAUGUAGAUUGACUUAAUAUUGCUGUCCUAUUGCAUGUGUAUUGUACUAAUAUUGCCUGUGUAUUGUAUACAUAUUGUAUGCAUAUUGCCAUCGUAUUGCAUGUAUAUUGUAAUGCUAUUGCUAUCGUAUUGCCAUUAUAUUGCCCUAAUAUUGCCUCUCUAGUGUAUGUAUAUUGACUACGGCUCAUCAAUGGGUUUACGGUUUGGGCCAUAUUGCAUUUAAAAAUAAGACGAGGAGGAGAAAGAAACAACAUGCCUUUCAAAAACAGGCAGUCAGGUGCAUCAUAAUUGCAUCGUAAGACAUUGUAAGAAAUUAUUUUAAAAAAUAAUAACAACUAAAAAAUAAUUUACAAAAAAAGGAAGGUAUGAAUAAAGAGACAGAGAGCGAAUAAGGGGAGAAAGAGGCAGAACGAAGCUAGAGAGAGACAGAGAGAGAGCUGCGCUACAGAAAGAGAGCAAAGAGAGAGUUGCACUAGAGAGAGAGAGAGAGAGAGAGAGAGAGAGAGAGAGAGCCAAGAGAGAGAUAGAGAGCUGCGAUAGACAGAUACCAAAGAGAGAGAGAGAUGUGCUAGAGAGAGAGAGCCGAGUGAGCUAAGAGAGACAAAAUUUCUGAACAUGUGAAAAAUCAGCAAUAAGUGGACAAUAAUUAUAUUUUUAUAGGUGAUAUUGUAAUACUAUUGCUAUCGUAUUGUGGUUAUAUUGCUUUCAUAUUGCCUCUAUAGUGUACAUGUAUUGGCCUAAUAUUGCUAUCAUAUCGUAUGUCAAUGGCCAUUUGGUCUAAUAACAGAGUCUCCACUUCGUUGAAAAGUAAUCCUGAAUUCGAAUCUCAUGGACACGACAAUUGUUAUCCAUCCUUAUAUUAGCAUGAAUUGAUGUUGACCUUUGAAAUGAUAGUUGGAGUUGCACAUCGAUUCAUAUUCAAAAGGAAAGUAAUUCUCUCCCUCAAUGAAUCUUCGUUCAAAAGAAGGCAGCUAUCAAAUAUUGGUACAAAAAUGCAAGGUCCACAGUAAAUUAAUUGGACACAAACCACAUAUUACAAAACUAGGAUGAUUUUUGGCAUGCUUGAAAAGACAAGGGCCAAAUACAACAGAAAAGAAAAUCCAUUCAAGCUUCACACUAAACAUGGCUCAAGCACUCGACCAUGGUUUCAAUCCAAAACCUACCCAACAAGGGCAUACCACGUGUCCAUCAUAACAUAAUAGUGGCAUUUACAAAGCAUGAACUGCAAUAUGUUUCUUUUUCUCCUAAACAAAAUUGUUACUAAAAUGGAACAAAAGAUCCCUAACAUAGAGCAAUACAUGCAAAGAUAGUCAAUUGUCAUACACACAAAAUUAGUCCUCAUCCAUCCCUGCAUGCUGAUCUCUCUCACUAGGGCCACCUGCUGGUUUUGCCAUUAUAAUCUGCAAGAUAGUCAAAGCACUGUCAACAACCUUUUUUUAAUGAAGGUAUUAAACAUUAAAUAGGCUGCAAUCAGAUGGAUUCAUCAUUUCUCACAGAUUUUUAGCUAGCCAGAAAACCCCCAACAUAUAGAUUUUCUAUUUACUAUCCCUCCAUCCAGACCAUUGGUCAGAUGCGGUAAUGGUAUUUUUCAUAGUACCAUCUGUCAAAGUAUAUAUGACAGUUACUGACAUCAUGGAUGCACACAAAUGUUGUUUAUCUAACUCUACUGCAACUAGAGUUGUCACAAUCUUCCUCUUUCUCUUUCGAUCCAUGUCUACCCUGCCAUUAACAAUAUUGGCAAGAACAAAAUCAUAAUCUGUGACUUUCUUUUUUAUACUCAAACAUAAACUGAUUAUCAGAAAUUGCAGAACAUAGAAUUAUGGUGACAGAGAAGCACCACAUACCUGUUGGGUUGUUGUUGCUGCUGCUUAGACCCACUUUCAGCAGCUCCCUUUUGGUUCAAUAGCAAGUUUCAAUUUCAACUCAACUCUUAUGUCAAAAUUGCUUGCUACAACCUGCAAGAUAAGCAUAAUCAGCAGGAUUAAUACAAAGCAUUGUUGGCCAUGGCAUUGAAAGUUCUAAUACCAAUGAUGAGAACAGAGAGAAAUUAAAAAAAACAUUCUUUCUUAUACUCAAACAAAAACUGAUUAUUAGAUUAUAUGCAAAUUUAAUGUCAAUUCUCCAGACCACUUAAUGGCAUAAUUACUCGCUUGAAAUAGGAGAGAGAAAUACUAGAUAUGGAAUCACCUACUCCGCCAAUCAAUCUAAUUCUUGAUCUUCAUGAAUCGGAUCAAUUCAAAUACCCACGUCUUAAUAAAUACAUAGGAUGUACAGAAGACUAGCAAUACUGAUUUCAAUGCCAUGGCCUUUUUCCCUAUUUCCUUAACAGAGUUAAUAUGGGUUAAUAUUACAUGCACCCAUACAUCAUCAUAUUGGAUAUCAUGCUCUGUAACACCAGCUUGCAUCAUAUUCAACACAUUCCAAUUUGUCCAUACAUCAUUCAUGAUAAAAACACACUAUUCUUUUUGGUCUUUACAAAGAAAUUUUCGAAACAAAGGUACGAAACAAGAUAUAACACAAGUCAAAUUAAUUUGAAAGCAUAAGUUAUAUCCAUAUCACAUGUAGAUAUAAGUUAACACAGGUCUAUAGGAUGCUGAAAUAGAACAAAGUUCAAAACUUAAAAACAAAACUAAAAUAUGAUAUUCAAAAAUUCAAAUAUGACACAUCACUCUUAAAGAAUCUCACCCAGUUCAUCAUCACAAAAGUAAGAGACAAGUCUUCUCUGCAUUGCAAACAAUUCUCCCAGCAGCAUGUCAACUCAAUUGUUCAUUGCCUAUGUUUGAGAGCGGAGUUUCCUACAACCUAUUGGCAUGAAAGAGAAGAAACAGAAAUGAGGUUCAAACAUCAUAAAGCACAACCAAUUCACCUUCACAAUCAGUAUCAGCAACAAGCGCUAGAGGGAAAAGCUCACAAUCAACAAAAUUAUUGCAAGAAGAAACCAGGCAUGAAUACUGAUGAAUAACAUCACAAGUCUCAAAAACCCAGCAAAUUUUUUUUAUUUAUUCCAAUUCACACCUGCACAGCAUAAAACAGAGAAUUUAUUAACAAAACUUGCAUUAUGCUUCAAGCACAAACCCAUGUAGACAGACGCACCUGAACAGAGCAAAACCAUUCAUGAAGAAUACAUAUAUUACUAUUAAAAAUUAAAUUCUAUAAAGACAGUUGCAAAUAAAUCAAAAUAUAAAACCAACAAUAAUUGCUUUUGAACCCAACUCACUCAUAAGAGUUGGAAAAUAUCUCAUUCUUCUUCCGACAAACAAAAGAAUUAACAAAACACAAAAACCCACCCCCAUCANNNNNNNNNNNNNNNNNNNNNNNNNNNNNNNNNNNNNNNNNNNNNNNNNNNNNNNNNNNNNNNNNNNNNNNNNNNNNNNNNNNNNNNNNNNNNNNNNNNNNNNNNNNNNNNNNNNNNNNNNNNNNNNNNNNNNNNNNNNNNNNNNNNNNNNNNNNNNNNNNNNNNNNNNNNNNNNNNNNNNNNNNNNNNNNNNNNNNNNNNNNNNNNNNNNNNNNNNNNNNNNNNNNNNNNNNNNNNNNNNNNNNNNNNNNNNNNNNNNNNNNNNNNNNNNNNNNNNNNNNNNNNNNNNNNNNNNNNNNNNNNNNNNNNNNNNNNNNNNNNNNNNNNNNNNNNNNNNNNNNNNNNNNNNNNNNNNNNNNNNNNNNNNNNNNNNNNNNNNNNNNNNNNNNNNNNNNNNNNNNNNNNNNNNNNNNNNNNNNNNNNNNNNNNNNNNNNNNNNNNNNNNNNNNNNNNNNNNNNNNNNNNNNNNNNNNNNNNNNNNNNNNNNNNNNNNNNNNNNNNNNNNNNNNNNNNNNNNNNNNNNNNNNNNNNNNNNNNNNNNNNNNNNNNNNNNNNNNNNNNNNNNNNNNNNNNNNNNNNNNNNNNNNNNNNNNNNNNNNNNNNNNNNNNNNNNNNNNNNNNNNNNNNNNNNNNNNNNNNNNNNNNNNNNNNNNNNNNNNNNNNNNNNNNNNNNNNNNNNNNNNNNNNNNNNNNNNNNNNNNNNNNNNNNNNNNNNNNNNNNNNNNNNNNNNNNNNNNNNNNNNNNNNNNNNNNNNNNNNNNNNNNNNNNNNNNNNNNNNNNNNNNNNNNNNNNNNNNNNNNNNNNNNNNNNNNNNNNNNNNNNNNNNNNNNNNNNNNNNNNNNNNNNNNNNNNNNNNNNNNNNNNNNNNNNNNNNNNNNNNNNNNNNNNNNNNNNNNNNNNNNNNNNNNNNNNNNNNNNNNNNNNNNNNNNNNNNNNNNNNNNNNNNNNNNNNNNNNNNNNNNNNNNNNNNNNNNNNNNNNNNNNNNNNNNNNNNNNNNNNNNNNNNNNNNNNNNNNNNNNNNNNNNNNNNNNNNNNNNNNNNNNNNNNNNNNNNNNNNNNNNNNNNNNNNNNNNNNNNNNNNNNNNNNNNNNNNNNNNNNNNNNNNNNNNNNNNNNNNNNNNNNNNNNNNNNNNNNNNNNNNNNNNNNNNNNNNNNNNNNNNNNNNNNNNNNNNNNNNNNNNNNNNNNNNNNNNNNNNNNNNNNNNNNNNNNNNNNNCGUUCAGCAGCAACUCGGCGAGUCGACUCACCAUCCUCCCCAACUACCAACCAAGCCCCUCAUUCCAAAGGGCUCUGAAAACCUAAGAAAAAUCCAAACUUUACCAUCUUCGAAAACCCCUCAUGACCUCUCCAUAGCUCGACAUGUUAAAGCCCCUCAAAACCCCACCUCUCCUUCACCUACAAACCCUCCAUUCGCUAUUGGGUUCCCACCAUUUUAUCGAAUUCGCAUCAAGAACCAAGCUUUUCUCCCAACUCUCUCAUCCACCCUUCAAUCCUGCCCCAAACUUGGUGUUCCAAAUCCGUGACAUUCUGUGCGACCCUCAAUGGGAAAAGAGCUCAGAGCUCAGCUGGCUGAGCCCUAAGAUUAGAACCGAUCAUGUGUCAAAGAUUAUUGAGACCCACAAGAACACAGACUCGGCGUUAAGAUUCUUCUACUGGGUUUCUAAGAGACCUUCUUACCAGCAUGAUAUGAGCUGCUUCUCAUCAAUGCUGAAUAGGCUUGUGAACGAACGGCUUUUUGCGCCUGCAGACCGUGUGAGGAUUUUGAUGAUUAAAGCUUCUAGGAAGGAGGAAGAGCUUAAACGGGUAACUGAAUAUUUGAAUGAGAUGAGCCGACUUGGUUUUGAGUUUACAUUGUAUAGUUUUAAUACGCUUUUGAUUCAAUUGGGUAAGUUUGAGAUGGUUAGUAUAGCUCAAAAUGUUUAUACCCAGGUGCUAAGUAGUGGGAUUAAACCGAGUUUGUUGACAUUUAAUACAAUGCUCAAUAUAUUGUGUAAGAAGGGCAAGGUUCAGGAAGCAGAGUUGAUUUUGAGCAAGAUUUUUCAGUUUGAUAUGCUCCCGGAUGUUUUUACUUAUACAUCAUUGAUUCUUGGGCAUUGUAGAAAUCGUAACUUAGAUUUGGCAUUUGAGGUUUACGAUCAGAUGGUGAAGGCAGGUUGUGACCCGAAUUCAGUUACGUAUUCAACUCUUAUCAAUGGGUUAUGCAAUGAGGGGAGGGUGGAUGAGGCACUGGAUAUGCUUGAUGAAAUGGUAGAAAAAGGGAUUGAACCCACAUCAUAUACUUACACUGUCCCAAUUGCUUCACUAUGUGAGGCCGAUCGGCUGGUGGAAGCAAUUGGGCUUUUCAGAAGAAUGAGAAGCAGGGGUUGCCAUCCUACCGUUCAUACUUAUACAGCUUUGAUCAGUGGGUUGUCUCAGACGGGGAAACUCGAUGUUGCUAUUGGACUCUAUCACAAGCUUUUGAAGGAUGGUUUGGUCCCAAACACGGUUACCUUCAAUACAUUGAUAAAUGGAUUAAGUGAGACAGGAAGAUAUGACCUGGCUACGAAGAUUUUUUAUUGGGUGGAGAGACAUGGGACCUUGGCAAAUACCCAAACUCACAAUGAAAUCAUCAAAGUUUUCUGUUUGAUGGGUAACAUUAAUAACGCAAUGGCUCUUGUAAGCAAAAUGCUUAAAGUGGGACCAUCUCUAAAUGUGAUUACAUAUAACACACUCAUCAAUGGAUACCUCAGUGGAGGUCAGUUAAACAAUGCUAUGAGGUUGUUGGAUUUUAUGAAAGGGAGUGGAUGUGAACCAGAUGAAUGGACUUAUACUGAACUUAUUUCUGGGUUUUGCAAGGCAGGUAAGUCUGACUUUGCAUCUACUCUUUUCCGUGAGAUGGUAGAACAAAGAAUUAGUCCCAGUCAGGUUACCUACGCUGCUUUGAUUGCUGGAUACUGUAUGGAGGGGAAAGUAGAUACUGCAUUGUCAUUAUUUGAGCAGAUGGAGGAGAAGGGUUGCUGUCCAAGUAUUGAAACCUACAAUGCCAUUAUAAAUGGUUUGUCCAAAGAUAAUCAGUUUGUUAAAGCUGAGAAACUAUGUAAAAAGAUGGAAAAGCAAGGACUGGUUCCAAAUGUCAUUACCUACACGUCUCUAAUUUGCGGCCUCUGUAAAAGUGGCAGGACUGACCUUGCAUUCAAAAUCUUCCAUGAAAUGGAAGAACAAGGUUGCUUGCCGAACUUGUAUACAUAUAGCUCACUCAUGUUUGGGUUAUGUCAAGAGGGCAAGGCUGACAAUGCUGAGACGUUGCUUGAUGAAAUGGAAAGGAAAGGAUUGGCUCCUGAUGUGGUAACAUUUACCACACUCAUUGAUGGUUUUGUUAUGCUUGGUAGGCUAGAUCAUGCAUUCUUGCUUCUUAGGCGAAUGGUUGAUGUGGGCUGCAGGCCCAACUACCGAACAUAUGCCGUGUUGGUCAAAGGGUUGCAAAAGGAAAGUCAGUUGCUGACGGAGAAGGUUGUGGGGCUUGUGGCCCAACAUGAAGGAAUGUAUAGUUGCAGCUCUGGUGAAAGCUAUAACUUUUUUGAGGCGUUGUGCAAUCUCUUAGCUAGGAUGUCAGAGAAUGGAUGUGAACCUACUGUUGAUACCUAUGGUACUUUAGUGAGAGGCUUGUGUACAGAAGGCAGAUAUUAUGAGGCAGAUCAGUUGGUUCAGCAUAUGAAAGACAAAGGCCUGUGCCCCAAUAGAAGGAUUUAUCUGUCUCUAUUCUUUGUUCAUUGUACGAAUUUAAAAGUGGAAUCUGCGCUGGAAAUCUUUGGCUUGAUGGAAGAUAAUGGAUUUGAGGUUCACUUGUCAGCUUAUAACGCACUUAUUAGUGCUCUCGGCAGGGUGUGUCGGGCGGAAGAAGCUGAAACUUUAUUCAAAAGCAUGCUAGAAAAACAAUGGAAUACUGAUGAGAUUGUUUGGACUGUGUUAAUCGAUGGAUUACUGAAGGAAGGGCAAUCAGAUCUAUGCAUGAAGCUUCUUCAUGUUAUUGAAUCUCAAAAAUGCAGUAUCAGUUUCCAGACAUAUGAUAUCUUGGCCAGAGAACUUUCUAAAGUAAACAAGGGUAGGGGGAGUUCUCAAAUUGUUAACAGAGCAAGUGAUUUAAAGGGUGUACAUUGAUCAUGGUUUCUUUAUACACACAGAGAAAAAGGAAAUUCGUUAACUGAGUUCCAUUAAUGAACUAAUAAGAAAUUAUACUUUUUUCGCCUGAGGUGUGUAUAUAUUCUUUUGCUGUGACAACUUUGCAGUUUGAUCAUACAAUAAAUGGUAUGUAGAUGGCGCUUUGCCUUCAAACCUUGUUAACAUUCGUUUCUUUCUAUUACUGUCUUUGGUGAUUAUCAGAAUACUUUAGUUCUGUUGGCUUUUGAUUAAUUUGGUCGCAAUAUUUUCCCAAUAGUCACCAAGAAAAUUCGAUCGAUGGUUACUAAGUUUGUUAUCCUAUCUACAUGGAAGUGACAGGUUGUUUUCAGUAGAUAAUUGUCUUCAGUUGGAACUGAAAAUCUGGUGUGCAUGAAGCAGCAACCUAAGGUAGACAUGUAGGUUUGUUUAGACAAAGUAUAAAUGAAUGAUAUUUGCCAUUUAUGUGGGUUGAUGGUUGGUGCAGGACUGUGUGUACUGUUUGGCAAUUGAUUUAGGGGUUAGGAUAAUUUCUGCCUAUGCAGGCUUUUUAAUUACAUGGAUUAUCUUAUGUAGGAAGGCUUCUUAAUACAGAAAUGGUGAUGUGUGUGAUCAUCUAGGCAGGCUUCUUAAUUACAUGGAUAAUCUUCUUUAUGGUGCUCAUUUGGUUGGUUUUCAUUGUUUGACAUGCUUACACCAUAUUUAUUCUGGCUUAGUGUUUAUAAAAUGGAAUUGAGAGCUAGACAUUCUUGGCAUAUAUACUUGCAGGUGACACAGCUUGGACGUCCCCUAGUGGAAAGUUUCCUCUUUCCUCUGAAAAUUUUGACAAGAAGAUGUUAAGAUACACCUUGUUUGAUACCUAUGUUGGUUUAUUUCGCUGUCGUUACCUCAUACAAUUUUGAUUCAUUGUAUUCUUUACACCAAGAGUCAUUUAUAAAAUAUACCUCAGUUUUACAAUAGCAUAUGUUAUGGUUCAUUUAGUAAAUUUUGGUUUUAUGUUUUAGUUUUAGCUUUGAUGGUCAAAAUCAUCCUCUUCUUUUUUUGAUCUCUCUCUCGUCUCUUUUUUCCUUCUCUCUGUUAUUCUUUUCAUAAGAAAAAGAAAUAUAGAAACUAAAAGCAAAAAAUCUAACCAAAUUCCCAUGGGAUGGUCUCUUGAUUCUGUAUCGGCAAGUAUAACUAUUUUACUGUGAAUUAUCAACAAAAAGUAAUCUGCAGUUGCCACUGAUUUAAAUCAACUUAAAUAAUGUCUGUGAUUCAGAAUUCCAGGAUAAAUUAUGCUUUGUAGUUGACGUGAUGAAAUUAAUUUAAUUAGACAUUUUUGGUGUAGGGUUACUCAGGUCCUAAAUCGAGCUUAAUUUCGCACCAGGGCUCUUAGAAAGAACUACUGGCCAAGAUUACCGAACUUAGUCCACUUUUUGUAAUCUGCCUCUGAGUGUUCUAAUGCAAAUGCCAGUAUGUGUGGCCACUUUCCGAAUGUGGUGUUCAAUUUUUUUAAUUUUCCCAAAGGAUGAUAGUACUCUAAAUCUUUGUAGGGUUUUUUAUUGGGGUCGAGAUGAGCUCAGAGUUCGCUUUUUUGUCACUUUCUUUGUGUUUUGCUGAUCUUUGCCUAGUAUUUGCUGGGAUUCCCACUCCUUAAAUGAAGAAGGGUGGAAUGAAUAAAGGCUUGGUUCAUGCAUGAAGACCCUAAUAUUUCCUAUACACAAGUGAUAUUUUAUGGGUAUGAACUAUAUUGUGGAUCAAUCUAGAAAGGUAAAAACGCAUUCAUUAUGGUGUGAGUUCUAGUGUUCUCACCUUUCCUCCAAGUCUAAACCUAUACAAACCCCCGAGUAUGAGAAACCCUUUGAGUGAAAAGUAAAUUAUUAUGUGUAUGCAAGAGAGAAUUUUGUGGUGAAAAUCCCUGGAGGUGAUUUUGGAAGAAACUCUGGCUUCCCGGCAGUCAGUUCUUGUGAGAUUGUUCCUUUGUAAUCCUUGGUAUCUUCUAGUCCUGUCCACAAAAAAAUUCUUGUAAUUCCAUCAUUUUAUAUAGAAAAGAAGAAUUUGUUCCUGUCCUUCUACUAUUCAGUGGACAAAAGGCUCAAAUGCUAAGGAUGUAAUUCCAUUGUUUUUAUGUUUGAUGAUGUUUGCCUGUUUUGGCCAUACAAGGAUGGGAAAGUUUGAUCUUGAGUUUGCUAAUUGUCUUUUGGCAUUGUAUUAGGUGACUCUGGUUCUCAAAUGUAUAAUGGUUCAACCCCAGUUUCCAAUCCUAUCAUGGAACUGAAAAAUAAAUUUCUAAAAUUUUUGAUUGAGCCUGCAGUGUCUGAAAAAUUAUAACCACAUGCCACCAA